UUGCAGAAUGAUGAAGUAUAUCGUGAAGAUGUCGGUUAGGCCGUCUAGGCUCCAAUACCCACAUCAAUGAUACGAGAUGUCAUAGUUACACUGACUGCAA